CCCACCGAUUUCGGCAGCCUUUGCCGGGAUUAUUCCCAUUCGAAACCUUUACCGACGAACCCUAAAUUUGGGCAGCAAGCAAAUAAAGCCAGCAAAACCCCUAGGUAAUCUUUGUGCACGAAGGCCGAACGAAGACCCACAGGGUGGAGACGGCUAUCCGGACGGCUGAGAGUGGGUGGACACAUGCCAGUCGUGUGAAAGGACCGAUCCCGAAAAGCGAAUGGAAAGUGGUCGCAGGCCCUGAUGACUUAAAGCUCACGUUGAAACGAACCCGAUAAGUAUAAUUUGACUGUCUAUGUAUCGUAAAAAGAGGGAGUGGGGACCUUGAUCGGAGAAAGGUUGCGGUUACGGGGAAAAAUCCCCUGAAGAACACUACUGCUGCCGAGAAGAACCUGCACCUUGUAGUUCGCUGCAACCGAACUGACAAGCAAGGCAGAGAGUGAAACGGUGGGGAAUUACGUGGUCAGGUAAA